rnacentral:rRNA from 1 species
UACGUAGGGGGCUAGCGUUGUCCGGAUUUAUUGGGCGUAAAGAGCGUGUAGGCGGCCAGAUAGGUCUGCUGUGAAAACUCGAGGCUCAACUUCGAGCUGUCGGUGGAAACUAUCUGGCUAGAGUCCGGAAGAGGAGAAUGGAAUUCCUGGUGUAGCGGUGAAAUGCGCAGAUAUCAGGAAGAACACCCGUGGCGAAGGCGGUUCUCUGGGACGGUACUGACGCUGAGACGCGAAAGCGUGGGGAGCGAACAGG